CCUACGGGGAGCAGCAGUGGGGAAUAUUGCACAAUGGGGGAAACCCUGAUGCAGCAACGCCGCGUGAGUGAUGACGGCCUUCGGGUUGUAAAGCUCUUUCUUCAGGGACGAUAAUGACGGUACCUGUGGAGGAAGCCACGGCUAACUACGUGCCAGCAACCGCUGUAAUACGUAGGUGGCGAGCGUUGUCCGGAAUUACUGGGCGUAAAGGGAGCGUAGGCGGUAUGUCAUGUCAAGGGUGAAAUCCCCGCGCUCAACGUGGGAACUGCCUUUGAAACUGGCAAACUGGAGUGUGUGAGAGGAAAGUGGAAUUCCAGGUGUAGGAGUGAAAGCCGUAGAUAUGUGGAGGAACAUCGGUGGCGAAGGCGACUAUCUGGCACAUAACUGACGCUGAGGAGCGAAAGCGUGGGUAGCAAACAGGAUUAGAUACCCCAGUAGUC
rnacentral:rRNA from 1 species